rnacentral:rRNA from 1 species
GUGGGGAAUAUUGGGCAAUGGGCGCAAGCCUGACCCAGCAACGCCGCGUGAAGGAAGAAGGCUUUCGGGUUGUAAACUUCUUUUACCAGGGACGAAACAAAUGACGGUACCUGGUGAAUAAGCCACGGCUAACUACGUGCCAGCAGCCGCGGUAAUACGUAGGUGGCGAGCGUUAUCCGGAUUUAUUGGGUGUAAAGGGCGUGUAGGCGGGACAGCAAGUCAGAUGUGAAAACCAGAGGCUCAACCUCUGGCCUGCAUUUGAAACUGUUGUUCUUGAGUGUCGGAGAGGUAAUCGGAAUUCCGUGUGUAGCGGUGAAAUGCGUAGAUAUACGGAGGAACACCAGUGGCGAAAGCGGCUCUCUGGUCUGUAACUGACGCUGAGGUUCGAAAGCGUGGGUAGCAAACAGGAUUAGAUACCCUUGUAGUCC